rnacentral:rRNA from 1 species
GACGAACGCUGGCGGCGUGCUUAACACAUGCAAGUCGAACGGAAAGGCCCUGCUUUUGUGGGGUGCUCGAGUGGCGAACGGGUGAGUAACACGUGUGUAACCUGCCCUUGACUUUGGGAUAACUUCAGGAAACUGGGGCUAAUACCGGAUAGGAGCUCCUGCUGCAUGGUGGGGGUUGGAAAGUUUCGGCGGUUGGGGAUGGACUCGCGGCUUAUCAGCUUGUUGGUGGGGUAGUGGCUUACCAAGGCUUUGACGGGUAGCCGGCCUGAGAGGGUGACCGGCCACAUUGGGACUGAGAUACGGCCCAGACUCCUACGGGAGGCAGCGGUGGGGAGUAUUGCACAAUGGGCGGAAGCCUGAUGCAGCAACGCCGCGUGCGGGAUGACGGCCUUCGGGUUGUAAACCGCUUUCGCCUGUGACGAAGCGUGAGUGACGGUAAUGGGUAAAGAAGCACCGGCUAACUACGUG